GUUAUGUAGAGAAUCCGUGGAGG
rnacentral:snRNA from 1 species